rnacentral:rRNA from 1 species
CCUACGGGUGGCAGCAGUGGGGAAUAUUGCACAAUGGGGGAAACCCUGAUGCAGCGACGCCGCGUGAGUGAAGAAGUAUUUCGGUAUGUAAAGCUCUAUCAGCAGGGAAGAAAAUGACGGUACCUGAUGAAGAAGCCCCGGCUAACUACGUGCCAGCAGCCGCGGUAAUCCGUAGGGGGCAAGCGUUAUCCGGAUUUACUGGGUGUAAAGGGAGCGUAGACGGUGAUGCAAGUCAGAAGUGAAAGCUCGGGGCUCAACUCCGGGACUGCUUUUGAAACUGUGGGACUGGAGUGCAGGAGAGGUAAGCGGAAUGCGUGGUGUAGCGGUGAAAUGCGUAGAGAUCAGGAGGAACACCAGUGGCGAAGGCGGCUUACUGGACUGUAACUGACGUUGAGGCUCGAAGGCGUGGGGAGAAAACAGGAUUAGAUACCCGUGUAGUC